rnacentral:piRNA from 1 species
UAAGAAAAGGAGAAUUGCUGGUUGGU